AUCCAGCCGACGAGCCGCAAAUAGGACGAAACGCACGUUCUGGAU
rnacentral:hammerhead_ribozyme from 1 species